rnacentral:rRNA from 1 species
AUACGUAGGUGACAAGCGUUAUCCGGAUUUACUGGGCGUAAAGGGCGUGUAGGCGGUCUUGCAAGUCAGAAGUGAAAUUCCUGAGCUCAACUCGGGCGCUGCUUCUGAAACUGCAGGACUUGAGUGCUGGAGGGGAUAGCGGAAUUCCUAGUGGAGCGGUAAAAUGCGCAGAUAUUAGGAAGAACACCGGUGGCGAAGGCGGCUAUCUGGACAGUAACUGACGCUGAGGCGCGAAAGCGUGGGGAGCAAACAGGAUUUGAUCCCCUGGUAGUCCACGCCGUAAACGAUGAAUACUAGGUGUAGGGGGUAUCGACUCCCUCUGUGCCGCAGUUAACACAAUAAGUAUUCCGCCUGGGGAGUACGGCCGCAAGGUUGAAACUAAAAUGAAUUGACGGGG